rnacentral:lncRNA from 1 species
AAAAACAAGAAUAUUCACCACCAAUGAGAAACCCUUUGGAUCUUGUCCAGCUGUUUCUUCGACGACAUGGCUGGGUAGCACUGUGUGUAACGUAGUCACUCCUGUUGUGAUCCCAGGAUCUCUGCUUCCUGUAAGAAGCCCAGGCAUUGUCUUCAACACAAGACACAGGAGGAGGGGGAGAGGGGGCGGGCUGGGCCGUCCUGCUAGCUCUCUCCUUAGCAAAAUAGCGUCCUUGCACUGGGCUGGUUGCUCUGUUUGUCACCCGACCCAGGGUCUGUGGUCAACUCCGAGGGCAUCGCGGGUCAGCAGGGGAGCUCCGAGGAGGAGGAGGAAGAGGAGGAGGAGGAGGAGGAAGUGGGUGGGGGCGCCUCCAACGACAUCAAGAGCAAAGGGGACGACGACGACGACGACGAUGAUGAUGAUGAUGAUGAAGAUGACAGCGAUGAGAUCGAAGCUCUCCUGGCUCCGCAGGAAGAUCCCAAAACGUCUCCUGGUCAGACAGCCGAGGAAGAGGAGGAGAGCCGCUCCGGGAGGAAGGAGGGGUGCCCGCCGCCCGUCCCUGCCGCAGAGGAGCGCCCCGGGGGCACGCCGGACAGAUGGGGGUGCUGUAGCUCACAGUAACGGGGAGCUGCCAGGUCCCACCAGCACCAGGGAAUGAGAGGCAAGUGAACACCUGUUCACCACCAUCCACAUGUACCAU